AACCAACCGAUGCUGUCUCCAGCCCUCCAGCAGAAGGUGGAGGUGUGGCUCCCACUGCCUUAGACGCCGGGUCCCGAGCAGAGAGAAGACCCCAAGGCAGCAGGGGGUGAGGCAGAAGAUGCAGCAGGGUCUUGUGCGGAUCCUGGCUGGCUGCCGGUCUUCAGCUGACAUUUCUCAGUAUUCUCCCAUUUGUUCUGAAGCAUUUCCAGUCCUCCUAGCUACCCUGGGAGGAUAGUCUUCUCCCUCUGCAGAGCUCAGGCCUAAAGGGGCAGUAGAAACUUCAGCUGGUCUUCCUCAAGCUAAGCCGUUGCCACAGUCACCGUGAAGGGCACAGGCAGUGACAGAGGACUCAGUCAUCUGAGAACACGAUUUCCAGAGAACCCACCACAUUUCAGUGAGAUAAAGGUGUGUGUGACCGAGCCCAGCAGUGUGGAGCUCACCCCAUGCCAGAUGGAGGCCUGAGUGGGCCAGACCCUGGAGCUGCCCCUGAGGAUCAGCGGCCUCAUUCCCAGAGGGGCCAGCAAGGUGGUCGCCGUGAGCUGACUGUUCCCACUUGGACUUGGCAGUGGACGUGAAGAACCAGGGUGUGUUCCAGCCACUCCCAGGUAAAGCAGCACUGCCGAGCAGCUGCCAGAUAGCGGGACUGCGGCCAGAUGGCCUGGGCUCUCCAAUGGACCAGCCAGAUUCCUACAUAGCGGCUUGAGGCAUCACAGGGCCACUGCAUGAGCAAUGGCAUUUAUCCCUUCAUCUUCCAUCAGCUCUAGUCUGUUCUGAACACUGUCCCCUAGGUGACCUUUGACAAAUCUCUUGCUCUAAGCCUCAGUUUUUACAUCUUGAAGAUGAGUGUCAUCUAAAUAGAAUCAAGGUGCUGAUUUCAGUGGCUGGAAUGCAGGAGGUGCACCAAGGACACUGUCAGCAGUAAUUUGGACACAGAACUUAGCACCUUUGUGACAUGCAAACAUUUAUCUCUUUGGCAUUCCCUGUGAGGUUUUGAUGGUGAUGGUGGUGACUGUGGCAGUGGCAAUUAGUUUAUUUAAUGUCGACUCUUGUCAGGUACAGGGUAGGCAUUCUGCA